AUUAAAAUACUGUCCCUUAAACUUUCCCUCCAAUUUGCAACAUGUCUGACAUGAGAGUUGACUUUUGUGUUUAUCUUAGUUUUUUUAUUUAAUCAACUCUAAUUAGUCGAGUCUUGAUUAUUUUUACUCCCUUUUUCAAACUAAAUGUACCUUUAGUUGCUCACCUAUUAUCAUAAUUUAAUUUGUGUACUCAUCAAUCAAUGUUUUACCGUUAAAUUAUUUUAUAACCAAAUGGUUUACACUGGAGACAUGCUUUGAUACUGGUAUUUACGUCAAUCUUGAAACGUCUGCUGGUUAAACGGUGAUGUUCAUCUCGAAUAAGUCUAAACAAAUCCUGGUUGGUCAAAGUUAUAACCUGUUUUACUCACAAAACUUGCCAUGGACCUGCGACGCUGCUAUGCAUAGUGUUGGUUAAUUACAGUCAUGAUUGGGAAUAUAAUUGAUAUGGUUGCUGGUAAACAAAUGUUAAUCUCAAGGAAUCAUGUAUCUCAAGAAAUUAAGGGCUGACUAGCUUUUAUCUUGAGUAUUACAAUCCCUUCUUUUAUUACACCUUUAAACAUUUAAUUUGUUUUAAUACAUGCUCAGCUUGACCUGGAUUUUCACAUAAUUUUGGUUCACUCGAUCAAUAACCAAGUCGUUUUAUAAUUACAAUUAGUAUGCUUAUUUGUGGACUAAAGUCAAGAGAUUCAAGAAAUCACUUCAAGACUUGCGCCUUUCCAUCCAACCUGUUUUACAUACUCAGCUUGAACUGGACCUCUCACCUAAUCAUACAUUAUCGGAGACUAUUCGAUUAACUGACCAAACAAUUGUUUCUUGCCAAUGGGUUAAUUCAAUAUUUAUUCCUGCUCAAGAAGUCAAGCAUGAUAGCAAUGAAAUCAAAAGGAAUCAAAGACUUGAUUUACUCAACACGAUAUUGUAACCAAUUUCCAUACAACUUCUUAUUCAACUCUUGCUCCAAAUCUGCGGACCAUGGUGAUGUGCGAUCGUCCGAUUAAUCAACCAAACAUAUUACCUUUGGAUGUGGAAAUGAGGUGUCCACCAACGAUAAUCAACAUUUGCUUCCAAAACGAUUCUUCUAUUCUAAUUUUCAUGGUUCUCUGUUAAUGUCUCACUCUGGGUUUCAAUUUAAUUUGGCAUGUUUGUUUCGCUGAUUGUUAUUUGCCUCUCUCUGUUAUCUUAUUUAUGAAAUAAUAUUUACUUUAUGUGUUUUUUUUCAUUUGGCUCAAUAGUAACAACAACAACAAGCAAACAAGUCUAAAAAGAAGAAAAAAUAAAUUACUAACCAGACAAAAAAGAGGUAAAAGUUAAAGGUAACCAAAGGUAAUUUAAACUGUUGUAUACCUAAAAGAGAGUUAAUCAAGGUUUUCCUUUUUUUCACUGAA